GUGUGCAAUCUAUGCAUUUAUGUGGGCCCCAAACUCAGGAAGCCUCAUGCUUGGUUUAAUGCUCUGCUGUUGCCAUCUUGAAGGUUUUUAUAAGCUUCAACAAGGAUCUCUGCCUGUUCUUUUUGCUCUGGACUCCACAAAUUAUAUAGACUCUCGUGAUUGUGGCUAUUUUGUUCCCGUCUCUUCAGUGGCAGUCUGAGUAACUUUAUUUCAUGAUGCUAUUUGCCCGGAAACCUUUAAGUCAUUAUGAAGUCUGAUGUACCCCCAGGUUGACUCAGCUCCCCAGGCCCUGAUAGUGUUGGAAAUUGCGGUGACCGAUGGAAUAAAGCCUUAUCAGAGAAAAGAGUGUCCUAAAUUCUCUAUUUCUCUAACUUUCCUCCAGUUGGCAAUGCGUAAUAUCAAACAAGUAAAGACAUUUAAAAAACAAACAGACAAACCUGGAUACUCAAACUGCAUGUGACUCUGAAGUGGAAUCAGUCUGGGUUGCUGUCUGGAUCUCACCGAGGUGAACCCUUGCACACACUCCUGAGCUCUCAUGUUAAGGACACGCUUCCAGUAGCUGUCACCGUCCCUUUUGGGAACUUGGGAUCACAGGUGGCAACAUGGCUGAAUCUUUGUGUGUUGCCACACUUUUUCUUCUGGCUGAACGUUACAGAUGUGGAUUUGGGCAGCCCAUCAAUGUGUUGCAUCUGGAUCAAGAGAUCUCAAUAAGGGUUCCAUUAGGCCCUGAAGCCGUCUCAUUUCUCAGCCCUGUCUGGGCUUUGCACAUUCCCUCAUGAAAAAAGAGGGUUUGGCGAUUAUCAUCUCUACCUGUAGCUUCUCCUGGACAAAUGCAUCCCUUAUUAUGGUAGAAAUCUAGUCAAUAUAGCUGUCAGGGAGUUCCUGUCGGGGCUCAGAGGUUAAUGAACCUGACUGGUACCCUGAGGAUGCUGAUUCAGUCCUGGGCUUUGCUCAGUGUUACUGGGUUAAAGAUCCAGCGUUGCCAUGAGCUGUGGUGUAGCUCACAGAUGCAGCUCAGAUUCCGUGUUGCUGUGGCUGUGGUGUAGGCUGGCAGAUGUAGCUCGGAUUCCACCCCUAGCCUGGGAACCUCCUUAGGCCAUGGGUUUGGCCCUAAAGAGACAAAACAUAAAAAAAUUUUUUAUUUUUUUAUAAAAAAUAAAGCUGUCAGAAUUCUUAAACUAUUGACAGCAGGCCAAGUUCAGGGUCCUUAACCUCUGUAGUACGUUCUGCAUGUCAAAUAUAAGAGAGGGAAAUGAGAUUGAUAAGCGAGUGCCUUAAAGUUUAAAAACGCUUUAAAAAUCUUAGAGGAUGGGAAGAAAUUGCCCACUUGAAGUGGGGUGAGCUGGGUUCUUGGCUUGGUGCGGCCACGGAGAGUCCUGGGCAUUUCAAGAAAUCUCUGCAAGAUGAGAGGACAUCACUGGACAAUCAGAUAAUCGUUAGUGUCUGUAACACGGCUAAAUUUUUUGACAUUAUUUUAUUGCCGCAAUUUAUUAUUCCAAUGGCAGGUGCAUUCACCCGUGGACUCCACGUGGUCCAAAAUGUUAUGAGAAGUGGCAUAUGGCUGCCGUUGUUACAGCCUCUGCCCUCCCCCCUCUUUUUUUCUGGCACCUGAGUGUCUCUUCUUCCCACUCACAUUCUCUCAUAACCCGCCCCCUGCCCCACCAGUCGUAAGUUGGACCCCUGUGGCCGUUUUGUUCCUAUUCCCACACUUAAGGAUUUUUUUUUUUCUGUGAUGUCUUUCUUCAACAGCUAAAUAGGGCUCGUGUGAGGAAUGUAACUUUCUAUGUUUUUUUGUGCGUUUUUGUUUUUUUUGCUUUUUAGGGUCGUAC
rnacentral:lncRNA from 9 species